GGUUGAUCCUGCCAGUAGUCAUACGCUCGUCUCAAAGAUUAAGCCAUGCAUGUCUAAGUAUAAACAAAUUAUACUGUGAAACUGCGAAUGGCUCAUUAUAUCAGUUAUAGUUUAUUUGAUAGAUCCUUUACUACUUGGAUAACCGUAGUAAUUCUAGAGCUAAUACAUGCAAGAAUGCCUGACUUUCGUGGAAGGGCAGUAUUUAUUAGAUAUAAACCAAUGCGGGCAGUAAUGUCCGGUUUUGUGGUGAAUCAUAAUAACUCAGCGAAUCGCAUGGCCUUAGUGCUGGCGA
rnacentral:rRNA from 1 species